rnacentral:rRNA from 1 species
GACGAACGCUGGCGGCGUGCUUAACACAUGCAAGUCGAACGGAAAGGCCCUGCUUUUGUGGGGUGCUCGAGUGGCGAACGGGUGAGUAACACGUGAGUAACCUGCCCUUGACUUUGGGAUAACUUCAGGAAACUGGGGCUAAUACCGGAUAGGAGCUCCUGCCGCAUGGUGGGGGUUGGAAAGUUUCGGCGGUUGGGGAUGGACUCGCGGCUUAUCAGCUUGUUGGUGGGGUAGUGGCUUACCAAGGCUUUGACGGGUAGCCGGCCUGAGAGGGUGACCGGCCACAUUGGGACUGAGAUACGGCCCAGACUCCUACGGGAGGCAGCAGUGGGGAAUAUUGCAUAAUGGGCGGAAGCCUGAUGCAGCAACGCCGCGUGCGGGAUGACGGCCUUCGGGUUGUAAACCGCUUUCGCCUGUGACGAAGCGUGAGUGACGGUAAUGGGUAAAGAAGCACCGGCUAACUACGUG